rnacentral:rRNA from 1 species
GACGAACGCUGGCGGCGUGCUUAACACAUGCAAGUCGAACGAAGUGGCGAACGGGUGAGUAAUACGUGAGUAACCUGCCCUCCUUUUUGGGAUCAGCCUUGGAAACGGGGUCUAAUCCCGAAUAAAGGGGGAUGGGCUCGCGGCCUAUCAGCUUGUUGGUGGGGUAAUGGCCUAGCAAGGCGGCGACGGGUAGCCGGCCUGGGAGGGUGGACGGCCACAUUGGGACUGGGACACGGCCCAGACUCAUACGGGAGGCAGCAGGGGGGAGUAUGGCACAAUGGUCGGAAGUCUGAUGCAGCGACGCCGCGUGGGGGAUGACGGCCUUCGGGUUGUAAACUCCUUUCACCAUCGACGCGGUAGAUGGAGAAGAAGCACCGGCUAACUACGUGCCAGCCGCCGCGGUAAUAC